CAGCAGCCGCGGGAAUACGAAGGGUGCAAGCGUUACUCGGAAUUACUGGGCGUAAAGCGUGCGUAGGUGGUGGUUUAAGUCCGUUGUGAAAGCCCUGGGCUCAACCUGGGUAUUGCAGUGAAUACUGGGUCACUAGAGUGUGGUAGAGGAUAGUGGAAUUUCCGGUGUAGCAGUGAAAUGCGUAGAGAUCGGAAGGAACAUCUGUGGCGAAGGCGACUAUCUGGGCCAACACUGACACUGAGGCACGAAAGCGUGGGGAGCAAACAGGAUUAGAUACCCCGGUAGUCCCUGUCUCUUAUAC
rnacentral:rRNA from 1 species